GAACAAGUUUUCACUGCCUGUGA
rnacentral:siRNA from 1 species